rnacentral:rRNA from 1 species
GGACCCGCACAAGUAGUGGAGCAUGUGGUUUAAUUCGAAGAUACGCGCAGAACCUUACCAACACUUGACAUGUUCGUCGCGACUCUAAGAGAUUAGAGUUUUCGGUUCGGCCGGACGAAACACAGGUGCUGCAUGGCUGUCGUCAGCUCGUGUCGUGAGAUGUUGGGUUAAGUCCCGCAACGAGCGCAACCCUCACUUUUAGUUGCCAUCAUUAAGUUGGGCACUCUGAAAGAACUGCCAGUGAUAAGCUGGAGGAAGGUGGGGAUGACGUCAAGUCCUCAUGGCCCUUACGUGUUGGGCUACACACGUGCUACAAUGGGCAUCUACAACAGGAAGCAAAACGGCAACGUU